UGUCUGUAGCUGUGGCUGUGUCUGUGGACAGUGCGAUUGUGUGGGUGUGCGGGGGGGCAGCGACAGUACCAACUCUACUGCAUGGAAUUAAAUGAUUUUUGGAAUCUUGCAUGCAGAUUUUAGACAACUUAGGCAACUGCACAUUUUCAUUGAUUAUUCUACACGUUCGAGUGAGUCGAGGCUCAAUGCUUUCUCACUUCUUACUUCACGUUUUUCUGGCUCUCCCGCUCUCCCGAUUUUCCAAAGAGAAACUUGGCACAUGGCCAAAAGUGCAUUGAUUGGCAUUUGGAACAAGUAUGGCCGGCGUCUGGCGUGCAAUCAGCUGUUCGCUGGCCGGGCCCGGCUGGUGUUGCGGCAUCGAUUCGCCACACCCACUGCCCACUGCAGUGGGAGUACCCUCCCCCUGGAGUAACAUUUUACCGACUGAAUGACAGGAACAAAGACCAACGACAUUCGUGCAGUAUCCAACACCCAAGCCCCCACCCAGCAACUUAGGAAGCCGCAAACAUGAAGGUUAAGCUUUCGCUAAACAGCAGACAUUCCGUUCCUGCCCUGAGCCGUCUCUAAUCCCGAAGCACUUCAACUUCUACUCUGAAGAAAAUCAAUAUAAACAUUACAGCACAUUAGUUUUUAGUUUCCCCGUUCCGUUCCGAGGGUUGCACAACUUUACUUUACACAAAAUAUACUCGUACUAUAUUAUAAAGUUAGUUAUAAAUUAAUUAUGUGUGUAGGUUUUAAAAGUAACUGCUUUGCGAUUCGGCCGGCAUCUUCGACAUUCGACAUCUUCCUGGCCUGGGAUCCUGGGAUGUGUCAGAAAAUGUACUCAUCACGCUUUUCUGUACAAAGUCAUUCCCAUCCGUGCAGGGAGAAGGCAUUAUAGUGUAAAAUUGACUUUCAAAAUAAUGUUAAACAAUAAAAGAAACAUUUGCAAAUUAAAUAUCUACACACACAUUCAUUCAUUCAAUCAGCGUUAAAAAUACAUAACAUUACAAAUAUUUCGUGCUAGCAGAACCGCAUUUAGUUAACAACUUUUCAUAUACUGCGAUACGAGGGUAGACACAUAGGUGUAGCAUUUAUAAGGAUUACGUAUGUAUUGUAUUGUUUGUAUAUAAAUAAGCAGAAAUGGCGCUAGAAAUGAAUGGUAUAAAAACUGACAAAUAUAAUCACAAAUAAAAAUACAACACAAAUCAAUUACAUCA